AUCUUGUCAAGAUAUAGAAGAUCAUGGAACGAUAAAUGUAUUGAACUUUGAUCGAAGUUUGUAUGUUUAGCUUAUUGCAAACUAUGCAUCUCUUUUACACCUGUACGAAUGCAACAAGUAUUACCCUACGUCAAUAUUGACAAUGUUUAACAUCAUAAAUAUCGAAACAAACUGGAGACCAGGAUACGAAUACGAUAUUCUGUACUGUAUAUAAUAAAUAUUAAGUGUCUUGAUAACUUAAUCUUUAUUUAUGUAAAUCCAAAGGUUACGAAUAAUGCUAGAUUAAUUUGAAUAAAACUAAUAGACUGAAUGUUUAUAGGUUAAAAUGUAUACUUUUCGGGGUCUUUGUUAGGUUUUGGACGGUGCAUAUUUGAAAUCAAUAAAGUCGGACCGGGAGGCAAUAACUAGUAAAUCUAGACUUAUAGGUCAUUCUAGGGCGUUCCUGCGGGCCUUGCGACUAGACUGUGACUUCUGGACUAUUUUGUGAUAAAAUGGCAAAAAAAUUGAAAUUUGAGACUGAAUGGAAGAUUCCUGUGCCUUGGGGAGAGUUAGUUUUGCUUCGUUGUGGCAAGCCUGACGGUGAGCCAGUAAUGCUGAUUCAUGGACGUCAAGACAGUUCUACUGUCUUUGCCCCGAUCUUGGAGUACAUGCCAGAUAAAUACAAUUAUGUAGCCCUGGACAUGCCGGGGAAUGGACUGUCCACACCUCUGCCAACUGGUCCAAAGUUGACUCGGCUCCACUUCCUGAGCGCAAUGGAGUUCGCUGUGAGCCACCUCGGAUGGAACAAGUUCAUCUUUAUGGGGCAUUCCAUGGGUUGUGAACAGGGGUUAUUCUACAACACAGUGUACCCUGGCCGCAUCACUCGCAUGAUCCUGCUGGAUGCAGUCCCGACCUUAAUGCGAAUGCAGAUCACCGACCCCGCCGAGUUCCAACGGACUUACUACGACGAAUACUAUAAAAACUAUGCUAGAGACAACUUUUUUAAGAAGUGUCACACACGCACGUCGGCUAUGAGCGCGCUGCGUCGUCUGCGAGACCUGAGCGAGGCGCAGGCGGGGCAGCUGCUCCAGAGGAACUUCCACCCGAAGACCAGCGAGGAGAAGAGGGAACAGGAACUUCAAGAGCAGCAGCGGCAACAGGCCACAGACGCUGGCUUCGAUCGGAUGAUCGCGAGGAUCAACCAUCUGCGCGAAACUGACCCUGAGGGAUACCUAUCCUGGGACAAUCGCUUAAAAAACCUAGCACCAACCAACUUUGGAAACGAUUAUUACUUCCAACUCUUUAAAACGGUGCCCCCAACACUACUAAUCACAGCUAGUGAUGGGGCAAAGCACGUGCCAAAGAAAUGGCAUAAAGGGGCAUAUGAGUUAGUCGAUCGAUUACGAACACUUAAGAAUUUUCGAGAAGUGAAAGUUGUUGGUAGCCAUGAUGUGCAUUUUACGCAUCCAGAGAGGGUCGCGCCACAUGUGAUGAAGUUUUUGGUCGAAAAUAAUAACAUUAGUAGUAAAUUGUGAAUGUGAGUUGUCAAUUUUCUUGAGGUGGUGGGAAUAUUUUUGAUAUUUAAAUAUAUUUUUGAAAGUCUGGUUAAUUUAUUAAUGUUUAAUGUUUAUAUGACUGCACGGAUACGGUGCGAGACUCAUUACGGGCUCGGUCUCGCAGGACAAGCAUUUGUGUGAUCCACGAAUGCUUGUUCUGAGUCUAGGUGUCUUUGUACAUAUGACUUGAAUGUUUGUAAACAAGAAAAAUUAAUCCCUUAUCAGUAUAUUACUCUGAUAUAUAAUAAUGUACAAUUGUUGAUUUAAUGCCCUGAGGCAUAGUCAAAUAAAGUCUCUAUGGACAAUUGUAAUUUUUUGACCACAAGUUUUGGCAAGAAAUUUGACAGAUUCAUUUUUUAUGACCAAUAUAACAACAACAGUGAUUCUGGUUUUUAUCAAAAAUGAAGUAAAAUGAAAAGAAAUAAUUUAUUCUGCAAGUAGGAUAUAUCAUCACUUAAACAUGUCUUCUUUGAGAACACUGGAGUCGACAUUUCCUAUCUGACUACCAUGAGAAGAAAUGAAACAAAAUAGGAACGCGAUACCAGUAGGUCUCUAGAAGAACGCAUGUGUCUUCUAUUGGGCGAACCGGGACUCUAUGAGCAGAACCUUUUUACUGAUAACUUUUAAACUACUUUAGAAUAUUCGAAAUUGUACUUAAUGUCUGUACCCUUAAAGUCGUAUUUCGGUAAUCUGUUUUACAUAUUUUUUCGUUUAACUAUAGGUGUUUUGACAAUAACAAUCUGUUUAGUCCGUCAGAUUGAUUUCCCAAAUAUAUUUGAUACAUAAUUUUAAAGACAUAUCUUUGUAUUUUUUGGUGUUCAUAAAAGGUAAAAAUGCGUGUCGUUUUACCCAGCCUUCAUCCCUAUUCUAUUUACUAUAGGUACGUGUUUGUGUCACAGUACCUCCUAAAAGGCUGUUUCGAUUAAUAUGUCUUUCUUAGGCGUUUGUGUGGCGCCCUCGAUGGUUUAUCACAAAUCAACCCGGCCGAAACAAAAUCGCCGGAUUAGCUACUAAUGAGUGAAAAGGAUCGUAGGCAAGUCUUCCAUUAAACUUUUUUAUUAUUUGACGUGUCAUACUAUUAUAGUAUUCCUACUUCAUAUUAACAGAAAUUCUUAUUUAUUUUUAAGUGUAAUUUUGAGGAUCGGCGAUUUUUUUUUGUUACCUCCGUGUUCGAGUGGCGUACG